rnacentral:snoRNA from 1 species
AUCCCAUGAUGUGGAGACUUCUGCAGCAUAUUCUUAAACCUAUUUCAGGCUUCAUCAAAAUUCUCUGAGUUGCCUUGACAAAAAACAGAUAUGUCGUGCUUGAGCUU